rnacentral:lncRNA from 1 species
GUGGUACCAGGAGAGACUGCACUGGCAUUUUAUAAAGCUAAGAAUCCUACUGACAAACCAGUAAUUGGAAUUUCUACAUAUAAUGUUGUACCGUUUGAAGCCGGACAAUAUUUCAAUAAAAUACAGUGCUUCUGUUUUGAAGAACAAAGGCUUAAUCCACAAGAAGAAGUAGAUAUGCCAGUGUUUUUCUACAUUGAUCCUGAAUUUGCAGAAGAUCCAAGAAUGGUGAAUGUCGACCUCAUCACUCUUUCUUACACUUUUUUUGAAGCGAAGGAAGGGCACAAGUUGGCAGUUCCAGGCUACAAUUGAAGUAGCUCCCAAGACCUGCAUCAGAUUUGCGAUUUUUGGAAAAUCAUGUAUUGUGCUUUCUCAGAAGAGAAUAUUCUACAGUAAUGUAUUUUGAAACCUUGUAUUUUAAAUGGUUUUGCCUUUCUUUCUUUGCAAUUCAUUUAUCCCACUUAAGAUUGAGAAAAGAAGUUCAAAACUCAGUCUGUGGUGAGAAAAUGCUGCUAUCCUGUGAUGGUGCUUAAGGGCAGGAAGUGAACACUGCUGUUUUAAGUAAUAGAAUAUGAACAUUCUUUAUAUCCCAAGCCUGGAGAGUAUAUGACUGCCCAAUGUACCACAAGUGUGACGAUUGAAAACUGCAUCAUGGGCCAGGCAGGUGAAUCAGUGGGUUGAAGUGUUUGCCACACAGGACUGACAACUUGAAUUCUGGUUGCUGGAACCAGCCUGAAAAGAGUGAGUGUAAUAGCUCACCUCUGUGGUCCCAGAGUUCUCACAGUGAGUAGGAGCUUAAGCCAGGAGGAUCGUUUUGCCUGUAUAUGCAUGCGCUGGCUGCCCACACAGAUGUAAAUUGCUUGAAUAGCCCUUCAUACCUGUAAUAAUGUCUCUGAAAACCUCAAGAAAGAAACUGUGUGCAACUCUUUGAGUUCAUAACAUGCAGGCUGCUCUUCCUUCAGUAUAAACUGACACCAUUUAAAAAUGUAUUUAUUUUCUCAGUAUGUAUGCAAGAUGAAUGCUACCCAUGCUGCAGCAGACAAUGUAGUGGGCAAGCUGUGGGAGAGCAUUUUCUCUUACUAUGGGGUCUCUGAGUAUGACAGGGUAGUGAAUGCCUUCAGCUACUGAGCUUUCUUUGGCUGAAUCAACAGUUAAAAGCUCAGUGUUAGAGGAGUCACUUGGUCCCAAGUUUGCAUUUUUAGUUCAAGCGUGUGGCUUUUCUGUUAGGCUUGAGUGCUGUUUUAUUCAGAGUACUGAAAAUAGAUGAUAACAUGGAAAUGAUGGUAUCAUGAUCUAACAGAAUUACACCUGCUGGCUAAGCUAGCAUUUACCACCAUAAUUCCAAGUUCAUUAACAUUAUCAUUGGAAGGGUGAAAUUGUGAAGACUUACUGGCAUAAAAGCUCAUUAAACUAGAAGACAGAACAAGAACAACACAACUCUGACAAAUUAAUAGUAAUUUAAUUUUACGUGAAUGAUGCAUUGCCCUGUUUUCCAGUAAUCUUUGUUUCAAAUCAGAAUGUGAAUUAUAAUAAAAGGCAAGAAUGUUUAACAUUAUAAAGAACUAACUACACCUAAAGGCCGCCUGAUGCAGUGGCCUCCUCAGGCACUUGAAAUACAAUUAAAGUCAUCAAGUCUUUCAAGCCAUUCUAAACCAAAAUGUUAUUUAUAAACAAGUACAAACUGAACUCUACAUUCAGAUUCAGUUCAAUAAAGGCACUCAUUUUCUUCCUUCCCCCAUCUGUUUACAAUGUUUUCUAAUAGGGUCUUAAAGUAACCCUGUCAUAGGUCUGUCAUGAUUUGCACUGGGUGCAAGCCUGCACAACAUAAGAGUCUACAGUUUAACCAAGUGGUCUAGUACUAGGCAGUUUUCCUUCUGCUGAAGUUGUUACAACCAGAUUUUCCUGAAAUCUUGAGCCAUUGUGAGGAACAGCAGUGUUGCCCAAAAAGUGUUAGCUUUUAUGUUGAAGUUUCCAGCAGAGAAAUGAUCCACUGUGGCUUUCCCUGUUGGCAGGUCUUGUCUUCCAGGCCUCCGUUGAUCAGGGACUACUUUAGAGAGCUGACCCUUUAUGAUGCUUAGUUCAUUUGUCUGAAAUAAAAGGAAAACAUUGGCCUAUCUGCCCUUCCUGAAGGACUGGAAGACCACAGGUAAGCAGAACAAAGGCCAGAAUGUACUUCCCGCAUGGUUGGUGAUGAGAAGAGGCUCAGGAUCAGGUUUCCAGUAGUGUGUAAAUAGGAUAAGUGGUGCAGGAGCACUAAGGAUGGCUUCUGUUGGUGCAGAUAUGAACUGCACACCAGAGCCAUAAGAGCUGCAUUAAAGUGACAAGGAAUUUCUACUGAUCAUCUGGCUUUAUUAGCAUUAAUACUAUAUACCCAAAACCAACUUUUGAAUUUCCACACCUAGAUAAGAGCACAGAGAUUGUAUUUCAUUAGUGAGCACUGGUCAUCACUAAGUAAUUUAGAGGAACUUGGUAUUGUACUAAAACAUGUGUCAGACUGAUGUGGUCCUUAAAGAAUUUCAUACAGAAUGUGAUAAUGCACUGAAAUUAGAUGGAAGUUAAGUUGCGUAAGCUGUCUUUUACCUCAGCAUUCACUAUGGCUUUGAGCUCCUUUCUUGUGGGAAGCAUCAAUUUCUUCAUAAAUAGCUCUGAAAAAAAGUCACCAAGGCAGAAGAAUUACACAUCAGUUUCAAAGUACCAUAUUACUACCACUAGAACUAAAAAUACAGGCUUUUGGGGGGAGGUCAUGCCUCAUAUGUGAAUUAAAACUAAUCUGCAGCUUAUUCUAACAAAACAUCUAAUGUUAGAGUCUUUCCUGUCUUAAAACUCAUUUUUACUUUUGAUUUAAACUAUGACUCAAAUUUGGGCAGUGUGGUUUUUUUUUUGUUUGUUUUUUUUUUUUGUUUUGUUUUGUUUUUUACUUCAAAGAUAAAGGUCUGAGUUUUAAAAUAUUUAAAAAAAUUAAGUCUGCCUUCUUUAACAUUGUAUUAUAGUCUAGACUUGGGAGAAACCUGUAGCUUGUAUUGGUCAUCUUUGUACCUUUAAUAAAUUAUAAUUUUU